rnacentral:lncRNA from 1 species
UCCACAAGUCUCUCUGCUCCUCUUUCAAACAUUGUCAAAGGCAAUAUAAUAGUUAAUAUUAUCAACUUCACUGGAUAAAAGAAGGGAACCCUUUACACAUGCUGCUAGGCUAUAUAUACACAGAAGGCUAACUGAACAGAAGGACUCUGAAAAUCAAGCAUGACUUCCUGGAAAUACCAAAAUAGCAAACAUAUCCUGGAUACUAUCCUGGAAACUAUUGUUUUGCUGAAGUAUAAAUGGUUCUUGGCUGCCUGAUCCCUGCCGCCCAGAUGCUCUCGUCUUUGUCUACGAAGUAUGAAGUGGCAUUUGUCCUGGAGUUCAGGAGAGAAUACAUAAAGAAAUUAUCUAAAAGAUUACCAAGAUGUCCACAAUACCUACUACAUCUAACGUUGUCAACGACGUGGAGCAAUGGAACUGUUCUUUCAUCUCUUGUGGAAUUCAAAAUACUAUAGCCACAUUGGGAGACAGCUUAACAGUACAGAUUGAAACAUACUCUACCAUUCGACCCAGAAAUUAUGUCUCUUUUUAUUUAACUAAAUGAAUUAAA